AACGAACGCUGGCGGCAGGCCUAACACAUGCAAGUCGAGCGCACCUUCGGGUGAGCGGCGGACGGGUUAGUAACGCGUGGGAACGUACCCUUUUCUACGGAAUAGCCUUUGGAAACGAAGAGUAAUACCGUAUACGCCCUUUGGGGGAAAGAUUUAUCGGAGAAGGAUCGGCCCGCGUUAGAUUAGAUAGUUGGUGGGGUAACGGCCUACCAAGUCUACGAUCUAUAGCUGGUUUUAGAGGAUGAUCAGCAACACUGGGACUGAGACACGGCCCAGACUCCUACGGGAGGCAGCAGUGGGGAAUCUUAGACAAUGGGCGCAAGCCUGAUCUAGCCAUGCCGCGUGAGUGAUGAAGGCCUUAGGGUCGUAAAGCUCUUUCGCCUGUGAUGAUAAUGACAGUAGCAGGUAAAGAAACCCCGGCUAACUCCGUGCCAGCAGCCGCGGUAAUACGGAGGGGGUUAGCGUUGUUCGGAAUUACUGGGCGUAAAGCGCACGUAGGCGGAUUGGAAAGUUGGGGGUGAAAUCCCGGGGCUCAACCCCGGAACUGCCUCCAAAACUAUCAGUCUAGAGUUCGAGAGAGGUGAGUGGAAUUCCAAGUGUAGAGGUGAAAUUCGUAGAUAUUUGGAGGAACACCAGUGGCGAAGGCGGCUCACUGGCUCGAUACUGACG
rnacentral:rRNA from 1 species